GUCCCUGUAGCUUAACCAAAGCAUGGCACUGAAGAUGCCAAGAUGGCCCCCCCCCGACCCAGGGACA
rnacentral:tRNA from 1 species